rnacentral:misc_RNA from 1 species
CUCAAAUUCGACAAUCCCUAGGAGCCUCGAAUGUAUUUGCCAAGCCUGAAACACACAUGAACUUGCAGAAAAGGACAAAUAUUUACCCUGGAAAUGCUACCCAACAAUUGCUUCGUCUCGGUGUGCUCACAUGCAAAGGGAUAAGCCUUCCUUUAUGAUGGUAAUAUACUUGUCAUCAAGAUGGUGCGGACGUAAGAGAAAGCAUAUUAGAUACAGUAAAAGAUAAACAUCAUAGACAAUGACAGGUGGGAGUUAGGACGAACCUUUUCCUGCUUGGCACUGAGUCACCUACAAUAGCCCUUUUGUCUCGCAAACCACCACAUAAUCUCUUCGACCAUGACUGCACUCUAAAAUUAGGCAGAGAAACUAUGCCAAGUGACUUCUGUGCUUAUUUUAUAUUUUUAUCUUUUCUUUUAUAUUUUAUUAUUUUUAUCAUUAAGUAAUUCAUUAUUAAUUGAUCUAAUAGUAAUUAUCUACGAAAUAAUCAAAGAAUUUCCUUCAAUUCUAAUAUGGCAGACUAGGCACUUAUCCCAUCCAUCCAGCUGUUCAAAAGUAAGAGUGCAA